rnacentral:pre_miRNA from 10 species
GGAAGAGAAUCACCAAGUCACCUGCUCCUCAGAUCAGAAGGUGAUUGUGGCUUUGAAUAGCUAUUAAGCAGCCACAGCACUACCUGGUCAGAAAGAGCAAGUGUACUAGCCUUUUACUUCUU